GGUUUGAUCAUGGCUCAGAGCGAACGCUGGCGGCAGGCCUAACACAUGCAAGUCGAGCGGCCGUAGCAAUACGGCAGCGGCAGACGGGAGAGUAACACGUGGGAACGCGCCCUUCGGUUCGGAAUAACUCAGGGAAACUUGGGCUAAUACCGGAUACGCCCUUACGGGGAAAGAUUUAUUGCCGAAGGAACGGCCCGCGUCCGAUUAGCUAGUUGGUGAGGUAAUGGCUCACCAAGGCGACGAUCGGUAGCUGGUCUGAGAGGAUGACCAGCCUCACUGGGACUGAGACACGGCCCAGACUCCUACGGGAGGCAGCAGUGGGGAAUAUUGGACAAUGGGCGCAAGCCUGAUCCAGCCAUGCCGCGUGGAUGAUGAAGGCCCUAGGGUUGUAAAGUCCUUUUAACGGGGAAGAUAAUGACGGUACCCGUAGAAUAAGCCCCGGCUAACUUCGUGCCAGCAGCCGCGGUAAUAGCUG
rnacentral:rRNA from 1 species